CACGUGACCGGCCAACAUGGCCGCUAAUGGAGACGGCUGCCCGGCGGGGCUGGAGCCGAGCCCGGAGCCGCAGCCGGAACCCGAGGCCGGCCCGGAGCCGGGGGAAGAGUUCGAGGUUGUGGACCGGAGCCAGCUGCCCAGCCCCUGCGAGCUGCGGAGCGCGGCGCGGGCCCGGGACGGCUGGUCGGCGCCCAUCCUGACGCUGGCGCGCAGGGCCACCGGGAACCUGUCGGCGAGCUGCGGGAGCGCGCUGCGCGCGGCCGCGGGGCUGAGCGAGGGCGGCGGGGAGCGCGCAGCAUCCAAGGGCCAGAUGAUGGAGGAGCGUGCCAACCUGAUGCACAUGAUGAAACUCAGCAUCAAGGUCUUGCUCCAGUCUGCGCUCAGCCUGGGCCGCAGCCUGGACGCGGACUAUGCCCCCUUGCAGCAGUUCUUUGUAGUGAUGGAGCACUGCCUCAAACAUGGACUGAAAGUUAAGAAAAGUUUUAUUGGCCAAAAUAAAUCUUUCUUUGCUCCUUUGGAGCUGGUGGAGAAACUUUGUCCUGAAGCAUCAGAUAUAGCUACGAGUGUCAGGAAUCUUCCAGAAUUAAAGACCGCCGUGGGGAGAGGCAGAGCUUGGCUUUAUCUUGCUCUCAUGCAAAAGAAACUGGCAGAUUAUCUGAAAGUUCUUGUAGAUAAUAAGCAUCUCUUAAGUGAGUUCUAUGAGCCUGAGGCCUUAAUGAUGGAGGAAGAGGGGAUGGUGAUUGUCGGUCUGCUGGUGGGACUCAACGUCCUUGAUGCCAAUCUCUGCCUAAAAGGAGAAGACUUGGAUUCCCAGGUUGGAGUGAUUGAUUUUUCCCUCUACCUGAAGGAUGUGCAGGAUCUUGACGGCAGCAAAGAGCAUGAGAGAAUUACCGAUGUCCUUGAUCAAAAAAAUUAUGUGGAAGAACUUAACCGGCACUUAAGCUGCACAGUUGGGGAUCUUCAAACUAAGAUAGAUGGCUUGGAGAAGACUAAUUCAAAGCUCCAAGAAGAGCUUGCAGCUGCAACAGACCGGAUUUGUUCCCUUCAAGAAGAACAGCAGCGGCUCAGAGAACAGAACGAGUUAAUUCGUGAGAGAAGUGAAAAGAGUGUGGAGAUAACAAAGCAGGACACCAAAGUUGAACUGGACACUUACAAGCAGACCCGGCAAGGUCUGGAUGAAAUGUACAGCGAUGUGUGGAAGCAGCUCAAGGAGGAGAAGAAAGUCCGACUGGAACUAGAAAAAGAACUGGAGUUACAGAUUGGGAUGAAAACCGAGAUGGAAAUCGCCAUGAAGCUUCUGGAGAAGGACACACACGAGAAGCAGGACACACUGGUCGCUCUCCGCCAACAGCUGGAGGAAGUCAAAGCAAUUAAUCUACAGAUGUUUCACAAAGUUCAGAAUGCAGAGAGCAGCUUACAGCAGAAGAAUGAAGCCAUCACAUCUUUUGAAGGAAAAACCAACCAAGUGAUGUCCAGCAUGAAACAAAUGGAAGAAAGGUUACAGCACUCGGAAAGAGCAAGACAGGGAGCUGAAGAGCGGAGCCAUAAGCUGCAGCAGGAGCUUGGUGGGAGGGUCAGUGCCCUGCAGCUGCAGCUGUCACAACUGCAUGAGCAAUGCUCAGGUCUAGAGAAAGAGUUGAAAUCAGAAAAAGAACAAAGACAAGCUCUUCAGCGAGAAUUACACCAUGAGAGAGACACCUCCUGUGUACUCCGUACAGAGCUGCAACAAGUGGAAGGAUUAAAGAAGGAGCUGCGAGAACUCCAGGAUGAGAAGACAGAGCUGCAGAAGGUCUGUGAAGAGCAGGAGCAAGCCCUCCAGGAAAUGGGCCUGCACCUAAGCCAGUCCAAACUGAAGAUGGAAGACAUAAAGGAAGUAAAUAAAGCACUGAAGGGCCACACAUGGCUGAAAGACGAUGAAGCAACGCACUGUAAGCAGUGUGAAAAGGAGUUCUCCAUUUCCCGAAGAAAGCAUCACUGCCGAAACUGUGGCCACAUCUUCUGCAACACCUGCUCCAGCAAUGAGCUGGCUCUGCCCUCCUACCCUAAGCCAGUGCGUGUGUGUGACAGUUGCCACACACUGCUGCUGCAACGCUGCUCAUCCACCACCUCCUGAGGCCAGUCAGCUGCCCAAAGUGAAUGGACUUCUGUCCUCAGGGUAGAGGGCAGUCUCAGGCCAAGUUUCAAAUUAUCACCAGUAAUUGUAAAAGUAACUCAGUGACCCAGAGAAGGAACCCCUCAAGACUUCUCUAAAUUAAGUGAACUCAUGAAGAUAUCAGAAGUACAAGGUUUAGCUUAACCAACUCAACACUGCCUCUCCUACACACACUCAACUUCCCAACAGUGGAGUGGAACUGUAUGGAUCACAGCCAAGAGGCUCUGCAUAGUUCUACACUCAAUACUAAAGACAGAAAUGGCCAAUAGAAAUCCUUUUCCGUUCAAGCUACCAUUGCUAACUUUUUGCAGGAACCUGAGAAAACCGUCAGCACAGUCACAGGGAAGUUCACUUGGCACAAGCCAACAUCAUUGCAGCUCUAAUUCUGUACUUCAGUACCAUUUGAGACUACACGUGUCUGUUCCCAAAACGCAAUGCCCUUGAACACUUAACUAAAAAACA